rnacentral:pre_miRNA from 1 species
GAAUUAUUCCCUUUGUUCCAUAAUUCUUGUCUUAAAUUUGCCUAAAUAUGGAUGUAUCUAUUUUUAAUAUGUGUCUAGAUACAUGUAAUAUUUCGACGAGAAUUAUGGAGCGGAGGGAGUAUGUU